rnacentral:rRNA from 1 species
AGUGAACGCUGGCGGCAGGCCUAACACAUGCAAGUCGAGCGGCAGCGCGUCCGACCACCCUCGGGUGGUCGGAUGGCGGCGAACGGCGGACGGGUGAGGAAUGCAUCGGAAUCUGCCUCGUUGUGGGGGAUAACGUAGGGAAACUUACGCUAAUACCGCAUACGACCUACGGGUGAAAGUGGGGGACCUUCGGGCCUCACGCGAUGAGAUGAGCCGAUGCCGGAUUAGCUAGUUGGCGGGGUAAAGGCCCACCAAGGCGACGAUCCGUAGCUGGUCUGAGAGGAUGAUCAGCCACACUGGAACUGAGACACGGUCCAGACUCCUACGGGAGGCAGCAGUGGGGAAUAUUGGACAAUGGGGGCAACCCUGAUCCAGCCAUGCCGCGUGUGUGAAGAAGGCCAUCGGGUUGUAAAGCACUUUUGUUGGGGAAGAAACCGGCCGGGUUAAUACCCUGGUUGAAUGACGGUACCCAAAGAAUAAGCACCGGCUAACUUCGUGCCAGCAGCCGCGGUAA